GAUUACUACGGGGGGCAGCAGUAGGGAAUUUUCGUCAAUGGGCGCAAGCCUGAACGAGCAAUGCCGCGUGAACGAGGAAGGUCUUCGGAUCGUAAAGUUCUGUUGAAGGGGAACAAGAGCGGAGAGAGGAAAUGAACACCGAUUGAUAUUACCCUUCGAGGAAGUCACGGCUAACUACGUGCCAGCAGCCGCGGUAAUACGUAGGUGGCGAGCGUUAUCCGGAUUGAUUGGGCGUAAAGGGUGCGUAGGCGGCCUUCUAAGUCUGGAGUUAAAGGCA
rnacentral:rRNA from 1 species